rnacentral:rRNA from 1 species
UACAGAGGUCUCAAGCGUUGUUCGGAUUCAUUGGGCGUAAAGGGUGCGUAGGUGGCGGGGUAAGUCAGGUGUGAAAUCUCGGAGCUCAACUCCGAAACUGCACUUGAUACUGCCUUGCUCGAGUACUGGAGAGGAGAUUGGAAUUUACGGUGUAGCAGUGAAAUGCGUAGAUAUCGUAAGGAAGACCAGUGGCGAAGGCGAAUCUCUGGACAGUUACUGACACUGAGGCACGAAGGCCAGGGGGAGCAAACGGG